GAAUCAAGGAGGUCUGCAUUCCCUGUGUGUGUAUCAGUUGAUUUCUUGCUCUAUUUUACUGUCACAAGAACUCUGGCUCAUAUGAUCAACAUCAAAGUCAUCAUCAUCAUCGUCAUCAUCCUCCUUGUCAUCAUCAUCAUUGUAACCCACACCACUCUUCUGUUAUGAAAACAUGUAUUUUACCAUAAUGGAUCAUCUUCAUCCAUGCCCUCUGUGCCCUACUGCUAUGCUGCUGCCACCGUGUGGAGCUGAUGCUGUCUUUCAAGCCCUCUGUCCAAUAACCUUCAUGUCUGGUUCUUUUGAAAUCUCUGAUACUUACUUUACAUGCAUUUCUUCCUUUAUCCACCUCACUGAGUCUGUUCCCCCACUGUCUCAAUUCCAAGUUAAGGGAGAAGCAGAAAAUGCUGCAUGCUUCUGAUCCACCAUCUGUCUCCUUCCUUUUUUAACUUUUAUAUUAGUUAAAAGUGGUUUACAUACC
rnacentral:lncRNA from 1 species